rnacentral:rRNA from 1 species
AACGAACGCUGGCGGCGUGCCUAACACAUGCAAGUCGAGCGCGAACGACCCCUUCGGGGGACUAGUAGAGCGGCGGACGGGUGAGUAAUACAUGGAUAAUCCCCCUUCGAGCUCGGGAUAACACUGCGAAAGCGGUGCUAAUACCGGAUAAGACCACGUCACCCAGGUGAUGCGGGAAAAGAUGGCGUUAUUUUCGGAGAAGCUAUCACUUGAUGAUUAGUCCAUGGCCUAUCAGCUUGUUGGGGAGGUAACGGCUCACCAAGGCGAUGACGGGUAGCUGGUCUGAGCGGACGAUCAGCCACACUGGGACUGAGACACGGCCCAGACUCCUACGGGAGGCAGCAGUGGGGAAUAUUGGGCAAUGGGCGAAAGCCUGACCCAGCGACGCCGUGUGGGCGAUGAAGGCCUUCGGGUUGUAAAGCCCUGUUGGGUGGAAAGAAGGGCUUUUGGACGAAUAAUCCAGAAGCUUUGACGGUACCACCAGAGGAAGCACCGGCUAACUCCGUGCCAGCAGCCGCAGUAAAAC